GCUAUAGAGUGGCGUCUUGGUUGAGGUUUGUUUUAUGGCUCCUCAGACUGCUGUGUAUUGCUAUCGUGCGGUCGUUACUAAAGUUGGUAUAACUAGAAAAUCAAGCUGUCGGCAACAUUCAUCUCUCAAGGGGGUGUCUAAUUCAGUGUUACGUCGUGUUUGACCCUAAAUUUUACGCCGGAAUAUCCCUUUAAGACGCUCUUAGGCUGUAUCUAUUCCAGAUAAUGCUGACUGGGGUAAAUCUCCUAUUAUAGAUUUAUUUAUCAUUACACAGUCAUACCAAUAACACAGUUUCAUGACCUCAUUGAAGAUAUGUCUUUUUUUUUUCUUCUUACGUUUAAAAGUUUCAAACAUCUGAGAGUAAGACAAGAUAAUUCAUACCUAAGGUCUUACAUCAAAUAUCAACCUCUAGGCGAAACAAACUAGAUUGUAGAGACAAACAAAGGAGAUGAAUAGACGUACAGCAGACUGGCUGUUUCCCCAUGUUUACAGUUUUAGACCACUAGCUGCAGCUUGGAAGGUGACUCAAUCAUUCAUGUGAUACUGGACAAGGGAGUGAAAAAGUAUGAUUUUCAAUAUAAAAUGUUAUACCCUAGCAUUCAUUAAGCUCCAACACCUCUGCUGGAGGAGGACACGUGCACACCUGCUCAGUACAAAAGUACAGAGGGUGCCCGGCUGCACCGUGUGCUCUGUCUGUGUGAGGGUGAGACAUGUCCGGGCCGAAGGAUGGGUUCUCUGAGGGCGAAGUGUGCCUGAGCCGGGAUCAGAUUCACGUUAUAUAAGAUGGGGAGAUGUAUGAAAGUAGGUUGAUUAGGUGAGUGUGACGGUCUGUAAAGGCCAUGUGACAAAUUUACUAAAGGCUUCUGUAGGAUGGUGCUCUCAAUUUCAGUAAUGCAUCUCUUAAGAAAGAACGUAUACUUAAUAUUUUAUAUGUUUACGUAAGGUAAGCUGGGUGAUGAUACACUUCAGUCUGUGUUAUCAAAACAUGUACUAUGUCGGUAUUUGUACUAUGUCGAAAUAUUUUUUACUUAUUUAAUUAUUUACCUCCUUUUUACUGACUGUAUUUUUUCUAAGUGUGCGCUUGUUUUUGUAUUUGAGUGAUUUGUGAAACGUGUUAAAGGUUUGUAUCACUUUGGCUGGAGAAUAAUCUGUACUGAAUGUAUGUCCUUGACAACUUUUGUUCACUGAAUUAAACAAGUUAAAAAGAUGGAAUAACUAGGAAAAAGUCUUUUUUUCCCUCUGAUUUAAAAUGUCAAUGUUAAUCUGCGAGGUGAACUGCUACAAAGGCUUUUUACAGAUUUGCUUUUAUUCAUUACGGCUGACCUGUGAUCUAAAGUACAUUUUAGGAAAGUUAUUAUCAUGCAAAACACUUUCGAAUAACUAAAUGCAGUGAGUAGGCUGUAUGCAAUUGCUAGUUUUUCUACAGUAUUUCUACACAUACUUGCAUUUUUGACCUUUUCUGUCACCCUAAACAGCUCACAUCAAACAGCACACUCUGAUGGGUUACGUAUUUUAGUGACAGGAGGUAUUUGAAAAACCUCCAUUCAAACUUGAGUCAUCAAACGGGCCAAAAAAGUGUGUGUGCAAUACCUGUUUUGUUUCUCCUGAGCAAACCACACAUUUGCAUAUUAACUUGAUACGAGUUAGGGCACAUUUAAAUGUACGAUGGCUUUGUUGGUGCAAUUUUCUCCUGAUAGCUCAGUGGACACAUGAUAGCCCUAUAAUCCUAUACAGCACGUACCAGGCUUACUCAAACUACAAUGCAUCACAUUAUGGUGACAAAAGAAAAGCCCUGAGGGAGGAUGAGGAUAGUAUAGCAUGUAGGGUUUUAAUAUACAGUAAUGUAUUGUUUUCCGAUAAAGAGAGACCCAAAACAACCUGAUGAACACAACUCUGCUUUUGCACAGAGACAGACACGCAUUGUUUAAAAAGAGAGAACACAUGCUAUAUUGUUUACCGUACAGAAAUACGCAUUAACUGCAAAGUCUUGACAAGAAAGAGUUGUGUUUUCCAGGUGGGGAAACUCCUCAGGCACAUCCGCCCGCCUUCGGCACUUCCAACACAAUAACAGGACUGCAGACAUGUAACGGCACGACUAGAUCAAAGCCUCGCUCCUCUG